rnacentral:pre_miRNA from 13 species
UCCCGGCCGGAGCUCUUUUCACAUUGUGCUACUGUCUGCGCCCGUCACUAGCAGUGCAAUGUAAUAAGGGGCUUCGGCGGGGCA